GUGCCAGCCGCCGCGGUAAUACGGAAGGUCCGGGCGUUAUCCGGAUUUAUUGGGUUUAAAGGGAGCGCAGGCUGAUGAUUAAGCGUGACGUGAAAUGUAGCCGCUCAACGGCUGAGUUGCGUCGCGAACUGGUUAUCUUGAGUGAGUACGACGUCGGCGGAAUUCGUGGUGUAGCGGUGAAAUGCUUAGAUAUCACGAAGAACCCCGAUUGCGAAGGCAGCUGACGAGUCCUUAACUGACGCUAAAGCUCGAAGGUGCGGGUAUCGAACAGGAUUAGAUACCCUGGUAGUCCGCACGGUAAACGAUGGAUGCCCGCUGUUGGCGAUAUACCGCCAGUGGCCAAGCGAAAGCGUUAAGCAUCCCACCUGGGGAGUACGCCGGCAACGGUGAAACUCAAAGGAAUUGACGGGGGCCCGCACAAGCGGAGGAACAUGUGGUUUAAUUCGAUGAUACGCGAGGAACCUUACCCGGGCUUGAACUGCAGCAGAACGAUCCAGAGAUGGUGAGGCCCUUCGGGGCUGCUGUGGAGGUGCUGCAUGGUUGUCGUCAGCUCGUGCCGUGAGGUGUCGGCUUAAGUGCCAUAACGAGCGCAACCCCUUUCGCCAGUUGCCAUCAGGUGAUGCUGGGCACUCCGGCGACACUGCCACCGUAAGGUGUGAGGAAGGUGGGGAUGACGUCAAAUCAGCACGGCCCUUACGUCCGGGGCUACACACGUGUUACAAUGGGGAGUACAGAGAGUCAGGUGCCGGCAACGUCGCCUUAAUCAUGAAAGCUCUCCUCAGUUCGGAUUGGGGUCUGCAACCCGACCCCAUGAAGCUGGAUUCGCUAGUAAUCGCGCAUCAGCCAUGGCGCGGUGAAUACGUUCCCGGGCCUUGUACACACCGCCCGU
rnacentral:rRNA from 1 species